CCUACGAAAAGAUACCCAGCAGUCAGAUAAAAAUUAAAUUAGUUGGAACAAGAGAUCGAUGAUACCAUAUCGACUGAUGAAUUCGAUUACUUCAAGGACCAUAUGACGAUCUACAAUAUCUACAUAUAUCACAUACAUAUACACCCUUCACACACAAAAAUUCACUCAUAAAAAUGUAACACACUCACAUACCAAAUCUUUUAGAAGUGAAUGUCAUACGAGUCCUGAUAACCCCCGCAGAUACGGAAUGUAGCAGAUACGAAUGAGGCAUCAGAACGGUAAGCGGCAAGGCGACGACGGCCAUGCUGCAAAUGAAAAUUGGCGACGAGAAUGUAGCGAUUCAAAAUCCAAAUAUGUACAGAACUGAAGAAGUUGGGAAACAAAUAAUAUUUUACAUUUUUUAUUUGAACUUAAA